rnacentral:rRNA from 1 species
GAUGAACGCUGGCGGCGUGCCUAACACAUGCAAGUCGAACGGAGUCGUUUUGGAAAUCUCUUCGGAGAUGGAAUUCUCGACUUAGUGGCGGACGGGUGAGUAACGCGUGAGCAAUCUGCCUUUAAGAGGGGGAUAACAGUCGGAAACGGCUGCUAAUACCGCAUAAAGCAUUAAAUUCGCAUGUUUUUGAUGCCAAAGGAGCAAUCCGCUUUUAGAUGAGCUCGCGUCUGAUUAGCUAGUUGGCGGGGUAACGGCCCACCAAGGCGACGAUCAGUAGCCGGACUGAGAGGUGGAACGGCCACAUUGGGACUGAGACACGGCCCAGACUCCUACGGGAGGCAGCAGUGGGGAAUAUUGCGCAAUGGGGGAAGCCCUGACGCAGCAACGCCGCGUGAUUGAAGAAGGCCUUCGGGUUGUAAAGAUCUUUAAUCAGGGACGAAACAAAUGACGGUACCUGAAGAAUAAGCUCCGGCUAACUACGUG